CUGCCCUCCAGCGCGGCUGGGUAUUGGGAGGUGUCCCACACGGGACACGCCCGAAAGGCAGUGGCGGCGCCGCGUCGGUCCUCGAGCGUAUGGGGCUUUGUCACCUGCUCGGGAGGGACUUGCGGGCGUCAGUCUUCUAUUGACCAGCCUCUUCUCUAGGGGCGGGUCUUCCAC
rnacentral:misc_RNA from 1 species